GUAGGGAAUCUUCCACAAUGGGCGCAAGCCUGAUGGAGCAACGCCGCGUGAGUGAAGAAGGGUUUCGGCUCGUAAAACUCUGUUGUUAAAGAAGAACGUAUCUGAGAGUAACUGUUCAGAUAGUGACGGUAUUUAACCAGAAAGCCACGGCUAACUACGUGCCAGCAGCCGCGGUAAUACGUAGGUGGCAAGCGUUAUCCGGAUUUAUUGGGCGUAAAGGGAGUGCAGGCGGUUAUUUAAGUCUGAUGUGAAAGCCUUCGGCUUAACCGGAGAAGGGCAUCGGAAACUGGAUAACUUGAGUGCAGAAGAGGGUAGUGGAACUCCAUGUGUAGCGGUGGAAUGCGUAGAUAUAUGGAAGAACACCAGUGGCGAAGGCGGCUACCUAGUCUGUAACUGACGCUGAGGCUCGAAAGCAUGGGUAGCAAACAGGAUUAGAAACCCUAGUAGUCC
rnacentral:rRNA from 1 species